rnacentral:rRNA from 1 species
AUUGAACGCUGGCGGAAUGCUUUACACAUGCAAGUCGAACGGUAGAGGGGGCAACCCCUCGAGAGUGGCGAACGGGUGAGUAAUAUAUCGGAACGUGCCCAGUCGUGGGGGAUAACGUAGCGAAAGUUACGCUAAUACCGCAUACGAUCUAAGGAUGAAAGCGGGGGAUCGCAAGACCUCGCGCGAUUGGAGCGGCCGAUAUCAGAUUAGGUAGUUGGUGGGGUAAAAGGCUCACCAAGCCAACGAUCUGUAGCUGGUCUGAGAGGACGACCAGCCACACUGGGACUGAGACACGGCCCAGACUCCUACGGGAGGCAGCAGUGGGGAAUUUUGGACAAUGGGCGAAAGCCUGAUCCAGCCAUGCCGCGUGCAGGAUGAAGGCC